ACUGUCCUGCUCCCUUUGUAAAGCUGCCUGUGAGAGAUUGGAGAAAUGGGAUGGACAUGACUCAAUACACAAAAGAUAUGAUUCAACAGCAGCAUCUUCCCAUGUGGUAUCCAAAGCGAUGAAAUUGACUCUGAAAGUAGUGCCAGUGUUCUCCUCUGUUGGCCCCUCUUCCAUUUCUGGAUUUCCAGAGGAUGUUUUUCUAAAGACCUGUGAUUCGUACAUGCCAAAUCAGCAGGUGAGAUCCUAUUGAGCAUCCUAAGGUCUGACAGUCCUAUCAAUCAUAACAAAACUGCCUCAGGGGCUGAGUAAGGACUUGCAAGACAUCUUGCC